AUGGAUGAUUUCGUUGCAUGGCGUUUCACAAAGAAUAACAUAUUCACGGUUAGGUCGGCAUAUCACGCUGAGUGGGAUCAUCAAUUUGGACGCUGGUUCGAGCGAUCGGCAGGCCAACCAUCACAACAAUACCCAGUCUGGAGUAAACUGUGGGAAUCUACGAUGCCGGGUAAAGUUAAGAUACAUGCAUGGAAGGUGUUGCACGGGUUUUUGCCAUGCUUUGGGGUUCUCGCGAAUCGCCAUAUAGUUAUGCCAACGAACUGCCCAAUGUGUGCUGGAGGCUGUGAGGACAUAAAGCACGCCUUGUUUACUUGCCCAAGAGCAGCCGAGAUCUGGAGAUGCUUAAAGUUAGACGGGUUUGUAGAGGAGGCAUGCGAAGUGGAUAGAGCGGGAUCGUCGGUACUGGAUUAUAUGUUAUGUGCACCACAGAGAGGAAGCUUGCUUCCGGAUGUCAGUGCGCAGACCCUGCUCCUUGUGGGUUUGUGGUAUGUGUGGUGGGAAAGGAGGCAAAAGGUCCAUGGAGAAGAUGUUCAAAUGCCAGCCCGAUCAACGCUGUCAAUCUCGGCUCUAACGGCUAACUAUACGAACGCUAGGAAGAAGGAGAUGGGCGCACAGAAGGGCGGAUGGACUAAGCCAAGGGAGGGAUUUGUGAAACUCAACGUGGACGCAUCAUUUUAUGCGCAAAACUUGAAUGGAGCAGUCGGGGCAGUGCUCAGGGAUGAUAAAGGGGGGUUCCUAGCGGCCUCCAACGACAAGCUGGAGCAUGUAACCGAUGCAGCAGCUGCGGAAGCAUAUGCGUUGAGGCAUGGCCUCCUAUUAGCGCAACAGGUUGGAAUAAACAAGCUGAUAGUGGAGGCGGAUUGUCUGGAGGUGAUCGAUAUAAUGAACUCGGGUGGCUUCACUACAACAGGAGCGGCGGCAAUUUAUGCAGAUUGUAUGGCUUUGUCAGUAGGUUAUAUUUCAGUUUCUUUCAUUCACUGUCCUAGAGAGGCAAAUUGUGUUUCUCAUGAACUAGCUAGGCUGGCGGCUCUUAAUCCACCCGGUUUGUGGGUUGAGGAACCACCGGAAUCCAUUGUACGGUGGCUGGUAGAUGAUGUAAUAGGGCCGGCCUCUUGGACAGAGUCUGUAGCAGCAACGGCGCAUCAGGCAAAGCAAGCAACAACGGCUUCAGGUAGAGCAAGCAACAGCAAAGUAACGCAACAACAAGCAAGGCAGUAG
rnacentral:rRNA from 1 species